CUCAACAUGAGAGUUUGAUCCUGGCUCAGAACGAACGCUGGCGGCAGGCUUAACACAUGCAAGUCGAGCGCCCCGCAAGGGGAGCGGCAGACGGGUGAGUAACGCGUGGGAAUCUACCUUUUGCUACGGAAUAACGCAGGGAAACUUGUGCUAAUACCGUAUGUGUCCUUCGGGAGAAAGAUUUAUCGGCAAGAGAUGAGCCCGCGUUGGAUUAGCUAGUUGGUGGGGUAAAGGCCUACCAAGGCGACGAUCCAUAGCUGGUCUGAGAGGAUGAUCAGCCACAUUGGGACUGAGACACGGCCCAAACUCCUA
rnacentral:rRNA from 1 species